AGCCGACCCCUGGCUAGCCCAGCGCUGGGUUCCGGGCCUCUAGAGGCGCCCCUGCCCCGAGAUCCCCAAAUCGGAGCGCAAACCUACCAGCUACAGCCGUCGCCCCUUGCCCCCUUUAAACAAGCGAACCCUCCUCGUCCCGUUUAGGCCGCCAGAGCCCCUUCCCAGAAGGCUGCCAAGGAAGCGGAGACGCGUGCCGGGAAGGACGCGAGCGAGCCCCGAAGGGCGCGGCGGCGCUGCCAGGCGUCCUCCUGCCCCUCAGCCUCUCUGCGCGCUUCUUUGCCUCGUUUCGCCCCAUCUGGAAAGCAGGUGCAGAACCAAGCCAAGGAGGCCAUGCGGCAGAGCGGCCAGGCAAGGAAGGCGUCGUCGCGUCUCGGGGCCCUGGAUGCCGGCUCCCGGACUGGAGCGGUAUGAGGCUUCGAAUGGCAGCAGCCCUUUCACUGUCAGGUUGAGCAUGAAGCCAACAGACAAAGAAGGCAGAGCCAGGACACUCGCAGAGACAUGGAGCUGGGGCUGCUGGCUUAAAUCAGCCCUGAAGCCUGUCUUGCCUCAAGGAUUCAUUUUCCAAAGCAUGUGUUUCCUCACUGUUUAUGUUGUAGUUCGGUUUUCUGAGAUCUGCAGCCAAAAUUUUUCUACUUAAUACAACGCUUUUCCUUAAGUCAUGGACUUCCCUGGUGGCACAGUGGUUAAGAAUCCGCCUGCCAAUGCAGGGGACACGGGUUCGAUCCCUGGUCUGGGAAGAUCCCACAUGCCUGGGAGCAACUAAGCCUGUGCGCCACAACUACUGAGCCCAUGCACCUCAAAGACUGAAGCUUGAGCGUCUAGAGCCCAUGCUCCGCAACAAGAGAAGCCACCGCCAUGAGAAACCUGCAUGCAGCAAUGAAGAGUAGCCCCCGCUCACCGCAACGAGGACCCAACGCAGCCAAAAAAUACAUCUAUAUUUCAAGUCCUCUUACACAGCAGCUCUUAAUUACCAGUAUGCCUAUAGGGGAUGUUGCUCUCUUUCUCUCUCUCCCUCCCCAAGAUUCAUCUGAACCAGCAAAUGUCACUGCCUUUGGCCAAGUAGCUCUCUGCAGAAACCUGGAAGACAUCUUUGACACCUGUUUCUCCAUCCCUCUCACAUCCAAUCCCGUCACCAAGUCCUGUCAAUUCUACUUCUAUAGUGUGUCAAACGUAAUCCUUGCUAUUUUCGCUGUGCUCAUUCUGACAGGAAUUACUUAAUUUUCUUCCAAAGAACUAGUCUCCCAACUAAACUACCCAAUUCUCUCUCACACUUCUGUUAUUCCAUUCUCCUCAGCAGCCAGAGUGAGUCAUUAAA